rnacentral:misc_RNA from 1 species
GCUUAUGACAAUAUGUACUUCGAAUAUGUUUGAAAAUCUUAAUUGGUAUAUGUAUUUUUUUAUGUGCGUGCGCAUGUUUUCUCUUCCAUAUUGACAAUCACAAAGGUUAAUUCUUUUCAAUUCAAUUUGUUGUUUUCCUUUCUGAAAACUUAAAACAAUAUUAAUAUUGUUUAAUGAAUAGAAGCAUUUCCUCCCCAUCCGUUAGCUUCUUUCCUAAAAUUCAUUGCAAUUGUUUUCCCUUGGCCAUGACAUAUAUCUACCAUUGCUAAGGCAAGACCAUGUAAGUCUUCUAUGAUUUGAUUUGAUCCAAAUGCCUCAUUUACUCUACCACUAGUCACAUUCCAUGUUUUUGUCUCUUCUUACCCUACAAACUAAUCAAUUGUUUUGGUAAGAUUUGUUUUUAGGACAAAACAAUGUGCAAUUUAAGGGAACCUAGUUGGGUUUUGUUUAGAAUUUUGCCUUUUCUUCCUCUUUAAUAAAUUUUUAUAUGUGUGUCUGUGAAUGCAAUCUCACUUUUGUU